GAUGAACGCUGGCGGCGUGCCUAAUACAUGCAAGUCGAGCGAACAGACGAGGAGCUUGCUCCUCUGACGUUAGCGGCGGACGGGUGAGUAACACGUGGAUAACCUACCUAUAAGACUGGGAUAACUUCGGGAAACCGGAGCUAAUACCGGAUAAUAUAUUGAACCGCAUGGUUCAAUAGUGAAAGACGGUUUUGCUGUCACUUAUAGAUGGAUCCGCGCCGCAUUAGCUAGUUGGUAAGGUAACGGCUUACCAAGGCAACGAUGCGUAGCCGACCUGAGAGGGUGAUCGGCCACACUGGAACUGAGACACGGUCCAGAUUCCUAAGGGAGGCAGCAGUAGGGAAUCUUCCGCAAUGGGCGAAAGCCUGACGGAGCAACGCCGCGUGAGUGAUGAAGGUCUUCCGAUCGUAAAACUCUGUUAUUAGGGAAGAACAAAUGUGUAAGUAACUAUGCACGUCUUGACGGUACCUAAUCAGAAAGCCACGGCUAACUACGUG
rnacentral:rRNA from 1 species